GGCGGGGUGCCAAUGUGUUUGCAUUCAAAGGCAAAUAGCAAAUGCUUCCUGAGGCACCACACCCCACUGAGCGAAGACUGAAAAAUCACACCUCAUUGUCGCCCUUCCACAUCUGUCCCAUUCUCUCCCCUCUCCUCCUCCUCAUCCAUUCCCUUUAAGCCCAGAAUCACCCCAAACUCACCUAAGAUCUGUAUGUACCAUAUCUGAUGUAUACAAAUAAUGUAACUUUUGUAACAUGUUUGGUAUCAUUUAAAAUGUCUCGGUGCGUCUGGUAUAGUGUUUUGUCCCCAGCUUUAUAAAACUUAAUGACAACAAAGUUAUAAGGUCUAUGCCAAAUACUGAAUAAUUCUGGAGGCCUAUCCCCUCCUUGAAUGUUUAACACCAGAAAGCCAAGAACCCUUUCACCCCCAAAUUCUCAUUGAACAAAGGAUAAUACCAUUUGGUACACAAUGUGUAUUCUGUCUGGAUAUUUAAGGAAGGCUGGCCCAGAGCUCAAGGUUCUCUGUAGUCAGAUGAUCCCACACCUCAAUGUGUGUAACUGUAAUAAUAGGAAUCUGCAUUCAGAUUUCCCAUGCUUUGCAAUUACAUGUACUUUUCUCAACUGCCAGGUAUGUUCUUUGACUUGCUUCUUUAACUUGUGUUUUAAAUCCUACCUGGCAAAUAAAUUGUUACUUUUUGAUUUAUUCUGUAUUCCUCUGAAAUCAUUUAUAUCAAUACUGGGUCUUUAAAAUAGAUGAAACCGCUCUGGAGGAACCGAGCAGGAGAAUCCCAUUUUAAGAAUCAUUUCUAUCAUAACUGAAGCUUUAAUGUAGGAGGAAGCCACUUAAAGACUAUCAGUUUGAAUCUCAUUAGAAACUGAUCAAAAGGUAAAUGAAUAGAAGAGGAUUCAGAGUAAUCAAUAACUUAAAUGAUUAAAAUAAAAGAAUAAUCAGAAAGAAUUUAGAGCUUUAAUCUAAAUCAGAGGUCAACUUAAAAUUGGAGUCAGAUUAAUAUAAAAUUGGAGUCAGAUAAAAUUAAUAACGGGAUGAAUUUGUAAAGUGCAAAUUAUUAACAAUAAUUGCUUUACUUCAGUGCUCAGAAAAGACAGAACAACGCAGAGACCUUCAAGGGGCAAAUCUAUGUAUUUUUAGCAGUUUUGCCUGCCAUUUUACAAGUGGUGACCUGCCUCCGUGAUCUCCAACGAGCGAGUGACGUCUUUUCAGCGCAACAACCUGUUUGGUACAGAGGAUGAGUUUUGAGCUUCUUCUACUUCUCUGUCUACAUCAGCUCUGGUUACAAUCUCGUGAGGGACAGAUGCAAAAAGGUUUCUGAUCCCCUGCUUCAAGACAGGACAACAAUUUGGCCAUGAUGGAGAUGGGUGUGGAAAUACUCAAAGAGGCCUUUCACACCUCACAGCACUACACAAACAAAAAUAGCUAUAUGGCCUCCCGGUUUAGCCCCGGAACCACAAUUUUGCAACACCAAAUUGUUCUAGAACAGAUUCCACCCAUCUCCUAAACAUAGAACACACACUUUUAUCACUACACAUCAUGGAACAAAAUAAUGGCCUAGAUUCUGAAAGUACUAAUCCACUGAAGAUCUGGCCUGCCUCUCACAUACACAUAGCUCUCACAUAUAGGACAUUACAAACCUGUUUCCAUAAAACAGGCACUAUUUACAACUUCCCAACAACUUAUUUGAAAUACUGUAAUAUGCAUGGGACAUUUGCAUGGCUACAGUCACACAUCGAUGAUUUAAUUACAAAUUGCAAACAAACUUGCCACCCAAAUUUCUACAUUUCUGCCUGCAUCAAAUUAAAUAAAAAAUUGUGCAGACACUUCAAUCAAUCCACAACCCACUUUGAAUAUAGACAUGUAUCAUCGAUUUUGACUUAGCCAGCAAAUCAAUCACAUUGGAUAAUUUUGAAUUAGCACUGUGAUUAUUAUAUAUAUAUCUAUACCUGUGAUUCUACACUCAUAGAAUAAUUAUUAUUACUAUAUGCAAAAUGACGCAUACCACUGGAGAAGAUACUAGUUAUACUGACUCUGUGGUAUGUUUCCUGUAAUUUAUUCAGACCAAAUAUCCAUGGCAAUAAUGAAUAUUGGUGAUGAAUGUACUGGUUGCCAUGGGUUUUUUGUCACCUUUCCUUUAAUCCAUCCAGACCAAGUAUUUCCAAAUUCCACUACUGUACACGCUAUUGGUGGAAUAGUGAAUGAUCAGAUCAUCAAAUGGGAUCACAUUAUUGGGUAUAUGACCUUGAAGGGUACUGAGAAACAAUAUACCAGUCGCACUUGCUGUCAUGAAACUCACCAUUAUGUUGUUUGUACAUGUAACACCUUAUAACCUUUUCUCCUAACGACACUAAACUCAUAAAUGUACAGUCUUUAUAUGGUCAUUUAAGAUGCUGUUCAGGUGCUUAUGCAUUACCAGUGAGAACUCCUUCACCUAAUUGAGGUUGGCCCAGAAGACCACCACUGGAGGUGGCAGAGUUCUUCUAAGAGUCAGAUCAUCAUCAAAGGGAAGGUACCACCAGAAGCUCCAUGAUGGAAUGACAUGUCCACUGAACAAGCCAAAAAAAGCCUUGAUGGAUUCGAUGAACUGAACACAUGUGCUAACCUCAAACAGACACACAGGGACAAACCCAAUUAUCCACCUGCUACAUGUAUCUGGUGGGACUAGGUAUUCUGCAGAUGCAUACAAAGCGACAAAAUGGACUUGGCACCUUGAACGCCUAAUAGUGACCACGCAGAAACUAUUGAGUUUCCCACUUGGCCAGAGAGCGGACUGUAAGGCGGGGUGCCAAUGUGUUUGCAUUCAAAGGCAAAUAGCAAAUGCUUCCUGAGGCACCACACCCCACUGAGCGAAGACUGAAAAAUCACACCUCAUUGUCGCCCUUCCACAUCUGUCCCAUUCUCUCCCUCUCCUCCCUCCUCAUCCAUUCCCUUUAAGCCCAGAAUCACCCCAAACUCACCUAAGAUCUGUAUGUACCAUAUCUGAUGUAUACAAAUAAUGUAACUUUUGUAACAUGUUUGGUAUCAUUUAAAAUGUCUCGGUGCGUCUGGUAUAGUGUUUUGUCCCCAGCUUUAUAAAACUUAAUGACAACAAAGUUAUAAGGUCUAUGCCAAAUACUGAAUAAUUCUGGAGGCCUAUCCCCCUCCUUGAAUGUUUAACACCAGAAAGCCAAGAACCCUUUCACCCCCAAAUUCUCAUUGAACAAAGGAUAAUACCAUUUGGUACACAAUGUGUAUUCUGUCUGGAUAUUUAAGGAAGGCUGGCCCAGAGCUCAAGGUUCUCUGUAGUCAGAUGAUCCCACACCUCAAUGUGUGUAACUGUAAUAAUAGGAAUCUGCAUUCAGAUUUCCCAUGCUUUGCAAUUACAUGUACUUUUCUCAACUGCCAGGUAUGUUCUUUGACUUGCUUCUUUAACUUGUGUUUUAAAUCCUACCUGGCAAAUAAAUUGUUACUUUUUGAUUUA